rnacentral:rRNA from 1 species
GACGAACGCUGGCGGCGUGCCUAACACAUGCAAGUCGAGGGGAAACGAUAGAGAAAGCUUGCUUUUUCUAGGCGUCGACCGGCGCACGGGUGAGUAACGCGUAUCCAACCUGCCCAUCACUUGGGGAUAACCUUGCGAAAGUAAGACUAAUACCCAAUGAUAUCUCUAGAAGACAUCUGAAAGAGAUUAAAGAUUUAUCGGUGAUGGAUGGGGAUGCGUCUGAUUAGCUUGUUGGCGGGGUAACGGCCCACCAAGGCGACGAUCAGUAGGGGUUCUGAGAGGAAGGUCCCCCACAUUGGAACUGAGACACGGUCCAAACUCCUACGGGAGGCAGCAGUGAGGAAUAUUGGUCAAUGGACGAGAGUCUGAACCAGCCAAGUAGCGUGCAGGAUGACGGCCCUAUGGGUUGUAAACUGCUUUUAUAAGGGAAUAAAGUGGGAGUCGUGACUCUUUUUGCAUGUACCUUAUGAAUAAGGACCGGCUAAUUCCGUG